rnacentral:rRNA from 1 species
CACUAUCGUUAACUGAAUACAUAGGUUAACGAGGCGAACCGGGGGAACUGAAACAUCUAAGUACCCCGAGGAAAAGAAAUCAACCGAGAUUCCCCCAGUAGCGGCGAGCGAACGGGGAGCAGCCCGGAGUCUGAAUCAGCUUGUGUGUUAGUGGAACGGUCUGGAAAGUCCGACGGUACAGGGUGAUAGUCCCGUACACGAAAAUGCACAGGUUGUGAACUCGAAGAGUAGGGCGGGACACGUGGUAUCCUGUCUGAAUAUGGGGGGACCAUCCUCCAAGGCUAAAUACUCCUGACUGACCGAUAGUGAACCAGUACCGUGAGGGAAAGGCGAAAAGAACCCCGGCGAGGGGAGUGAAAAAGAACCUGAAACCGUGUACGUACAAGCAGUGGGAGCCUCUUUAUGGGGUGACUGCGUACCUUUUGUAUAAUGGGUCAGCGACUUAUAUUCUGUAGCAAGGUUAACCGUAUAGGGGAGCCGAAGGGAAACCGAGUCUUAACUGGGCGUUAAGUUGCAGGGUAUAGACCCGAAACCCGGUGAUCUAGCCAUGGGCAGGUUGAAGGUUGGGUAACACUAACUGGAGGACCGAACCGACUAAUGUUGAAAAAUUAGCGGAUGACCUGUGGCUGGGGGUGAAAGGCCAAUCAAACCGGGAGAUAGCUGGUUCUCCCCGAAAGCUAUUUAGGUAGCGCCUCGUGAACUCAUCUUCGGGGGUAGAGCACUGUUUCGGCUAGGGGGCCAUCCCGGCUUACCAACCCGAUGCAAACUACGAAUACCGAAGAAUGUUAUCACGGGAGACACACGGCGGGUGCUAACGUCCGUCGUGAAGAGGGAAACAACCCAGACCGCCAGCUAAGGUCCCAAAGUCAUGGUUAAGUGGGAAACGAUGUGGGAAGGCACAGACAGCCAGGAUGUUGGCUUAGAAGCAGCCAUCAUUUAAAGAAAGCGUAAUAGCUCACUGGUCGAGUCGGCCUGCGCGGAAGAUGUAACGGGGCUAAACCAUGCACCGAAGCUGCGGCAGCGACACUAUGUGUUGUUGGGUAGGGGAGCGUUCUGUAAGCCGUUGAAGGUGUGCUGUGAGGCAUGCUGGAGGUAUCAGAAGUGCGAAUGCUGACAUAAGUAACGAUAAAGCGGGUGAAAAGCCCGCUCGCCGGAAGACCAAGGGUUCCUGUCCAACGUUAAUCGGGGCAGGGUGAGUCGACCCCUAAGGCGAGGCCGAAAGGCGUAGUCGAUGGGAAACAGGUUAAUAUUCCUGUACUUGGUGUUACUGCGAAGGGGGGACGGAGAAGGCUAUGUCAGCCGGGCGACGGUUGUCCCGGUUUAAGCAUGUAGGCGGAGGUUCCAGGUAAAUCCGGUACCUUAUUAACGCUGAGGUGUGAUGACGAGGCACUACGGUGCUGAAGUGAUAAAUGCCCUGCUUCCAGGAAAAGCCUCUAAGCAUCAGGUAACACGAAAUCGUACCCCAAACCGACACAGGUGGUCAGGUAGAGAAUACCAAGGCGCUUGAGAGAACUCGGGUGAAGGAACUAGGCAAAAUGGUGCCGUAACUUCGGGAGAAGGCACGCUGAUAGGUAGGUGAAGCCCCUGCGGGCGGAGCUGAAAUCAGUCGAAGAUACCAGCUGGCUGCAACUGUUUAUUAAAAACACAGCACUGUGCAAACACGAAAGUGGACGUAUACGGUGUGACGCCUGCCCGGUGCCGGAAGGUUAAUUGAUGGGGUUAGCGGCAACGCGAAGCUCUUGAUCGAAGCCCCGGUAAACGGCGGCCGUAACUAUAACGGUCCUAAGGUAGCGAAAUUCCUUGUCGGGUAAGUUCCGACCUGCACGAAUGGCGUAAUGAUGGCCAGGCUGUCUCCACCCGAGACUCAGUGAAAUUGAACUCGCUGUGAAGAUGCAGUGUACCCGCGGCAAGACGGAAAGACCCCGUGAACCUUUACUAUAGCUUGACACUGAACACUGGUCCUUGAUGUGUAGGAUAGGUGGGAGGCUUUGAAGCGUGGACGCCAGUCUGCGUGGAGCCAUCCUUGAAAUACCACCCUUUAAUGGCUGGUGUUCUAACGUAGACCCGUGAUCCGGGUUGCGGACAGUGUCUGGUGGGUAGUUUGACUGGGGCGGUCUCCUCCCAAAGAGUAACGGAGGAGCACGAAGGUUGGCUAAUCCUGGUCGGACAUCAGGAGGUUAGUGCAAUGGCAUAAGCCAGCUUGACUGCGAGCGUGACGGCGCGAGCAGGUGCGAAAGCAGGUCAUAGUGAUCCGGUGGUUCUGAAUGGAAGGGCCAUCGCUCAACGGAUAAAAGGUACUCCGGGGAUAACAGGCUGAUACCGCCCAAGAGUUCAUAUCGACGGCGGUGUUUGGCACCUCGAUGUCGGCUCAUCACAUCCUGGGGCUGAAGUAGGUCCCAAGGGUAUGGCUGUUCGCCAUUUAAAGUGGUACGCGAGCUGGGUUUAGAACGUCGUGAGACAGUUCGGUCCCUAUCUGCCGUGGGCGCUGGAGAAUUGAGGGGGGCUGCUCCUAGUACGAGAGGACCGGAGUGGACGCAUCACUGGUGUUCGGGUUGUCAUGCCAAUGGCACUGCCCGGUAGCUAAAUGCGGAAGAGAUAAGUGCUGAAAGCAUCUAAGCACGAAACUUGCCCCGAGAUGAGUUCUCCCUGAGACUUUAAGUCUCCUGAAGGAACGUUGAAGACGACGACGUUGAUAGGUCGGGUGUGUAAGCGCAGCGAUGCGUUGAGCUAACCGAUACUAAUGAACCGUGAGGCUUAACCUUACAACGCCGAAG